rnacentral:rRNA from 1 species
UCAGGACGAACGCUGGCGGCGUGCUUAACACAUGCAAGUCGAACGGAGGAUUAUUCGGUAGAUCCUUAGUGGCGAACGGGUGAGUAACGCGUGGGCAAUCUGCCCUUCAGAUGGGGACAACAUCCCGAAAGGGGUGCUAAUACCGAAUACGAUCCUUCCACCGCAUGGAGGGGGGAUGAAAGAUGGCCUCUAUAUAUAAGCUAUCGCUGAAGGACGAGCCUGCGUCUGAUUAGCUUGUUGGUGGGGUAACGGCCUACCAAGGCGAUGAUCAGUAGCCGGUCUGAGAGGAUGAACGGCCACAUUGGGACUGAGACACGGCCCAAACUCCUACGGGAGGCAGCAGUGGGGAAUAUUCCGCAAUGGACGAAAGUCUGACGGAGCAACGCCGCGUGAAGUGAUGAAGGUUUUCGGACUGUAAAGCUCUGUUGUUUGGGACGAAAGUGCCUGUUGCGAACAGUUACGGGUAUUGACGGUACUAAACGAGGAAGCCACGGCUAACUACGUGCCAGCAGCCGC